AUGGACUACAGCAACGAGGCCACGAUUACCGCCGCGGCGCAACCUUACGGCCGCUCCAUGUCGCCGCCGUCGCGCGUGUCGUCGUGCUCGCCGCCCCCUGUAUUCCCGCUGAUGGGCAACGCGCCGUCGUCGCCGCCGACCAUCGUCCUCAGCCCGUGCGCGGCCUGCAAGGUCCUCCGCCGCCGCUGCGCCGACGGCUGCAUGCUGGCGCCCUACUUCCCGCCGACCGAGCCCGCCAAGUUCACCACCGCCCACCGCGUCUUCGGUGCCAGCAACAUCAUCAAGCUCCUCCAGGAUUUGCCGGAGAGCUCGCGGGCAGACGCGGUGAGCAGCAUGGUGUACGAGGCGGAGGCGCGGCUGCGGGACCCGGUGUACGGGUGCGCCGGGGCUGUGUGCCGGCUGCAGAAGGAGGCCAACGAGCUCAAGGUGGACCUGGCGCGGGCGCAGGCCGACCUCCUCAGCAUCCAGACACAACACGCCAACCUCCUCGCCCUCGUCUGCGUCGAGUUUGCUGCCAACCACCGAGGCGAUCAGCAGCUGCACCAGCCACCGCCACUGGGCGACCAGCUGAACGGCAUCGGUGGUAGCGGCGGCGGCGCCAUGUACCAACCGCUAUACGACUCGGACUUCGACUCCGGGGCGUGGGAAGAGGCCCGGCAGCUCUGGACCUGA
rnacentral:rRNA from 1 species